rnacentral:rRNA from 1 species
GAACGCUCCAGCAAUGGAGAGUGGCAGACGGGUGAGUAACGCGUGGGAACCUUCCCAGUGGUACGGAAUAGCUCAGGGAAACUUGAGGUAAUACCGUAUAAGCCCCUAGGGGGAAAGAUUUAUCGCCAUUGGAUGGGCCCGCGUCGGAUUAGCUAGUUGGUGAGGUAAUGGCUCACCAAGGCGACGAUCCGUAGCUGGUUUGAGAGAAUGACCAGCCACACUGGGACUGAGACACGGCCCAGACUCCUACGGGAGGCAGCAGUGGGGAAUAUUGGACAAUGGGCGAAAGCCUGAUCCAGCCAUGCCGCGUGAGUGACGAAGGCCUUAGGGUUGUAAAGCUCUUUUG